GGGGAUAUCAUUUAGUGAUCUCAUUGCUCACAUUACCUCUAGUUUAAUUAUAUUAAACAAUGAUAAAAUGACACAAACGCAUUGACAAUAUAUGACUGCUCCUCUUUAUUUGCUAAUGUAAAAGCAAAAAAAAACAAUCAAAAAACAAAAAACAAAAAACAAAACAACAACAAAACAAAACAAAACAAUGUAGAAGGAGUGCUUAAAUAAUAGAGCAGUUGUAUUUAUUUGUACUUUGAAUUUCUUAAUUUACUGUAAAUCACCUUUUAUUUUCAACUUUAAACUUUAUUUUUCGCGAAAUUACCGGGCUUUCUUUAUAAAAAGUAGUUGUAGUUGUUUUCAAUACAGUUGUUCGAAGUUGCAUGAGAAUACUUUGUUCUUUGGGCUGUCAAAUCCAUAUUGUCUUCUUGAAAGAAGCGCAUCUCCUUUAAAUCCCUCUGUUUUUCUUUCAUUUUGCUCUGAAUAUCGUUAAAUGAACAGCACUAGCUUUAGAAGCACGUUGUUGGAAAUUCCUCCAUGUUUCUUUGAUUUUGCGUUGAAUAUCGUACCAACUUCAGAAGCAGUUAUGUAAGUUUUGUUAGUACAAAAA